GCAUCUGUAGCCUAUUUGGUUAAAAGCAGCACUCUAGCAUGUGUCUUGGCUAUACUGAGGUUGUGAGUUCAAAUCUCACCAGACACA
rfam:Puccinia sorghi strain RO10H11247 Scaffold_2004, whole genome shotgun sequence.